rnacentral:rRNA from 1 species
UACGGAGGGUGCAAGCGUUAAUCGGAAUUACUGGGCGUAAAGCGUGCGUAGGCGGUUUGUUAAGUCUGCUGUGAAAUCCCCGAGCUCAACUUGGGAAUUGCAAUGGAUACUGGCAGGCUGGAGUAUGGUAGAGGAAGGUGGAAUUCCCGGUGUAGCAGUGAAAUGCGUAGAGAUCGGGAGGAACACCAGUGGCGAAGGCGGCCUUCUGGACCAAUACUGACGCUCAUGCACGAAAGCGUGGGGAGCAAACAGG